rnacentral:rRNA from 1 species
CCCCACGUCUCCGUGCCGCCCAGAGCCAGAAGCAUUCCCUCAAACACCUCGCGGGCGCCUCUGACCCCGCCUCCCUCCAUGGCCGCGCCCUAGAGACCAGAUUGUCGCAGCCGCUUCGGUGCUCCGGCUCCACCCAUGCCGCAGUGCCGCCUCCUCCUGGCCGCCGUGGUCCUUUUAGGGGCUGUGGUGGCCGCCGUGGCGCAGCAGCCGCUCGCGUCGCCGUCGGACCUGGCGGGGCUGUACAGCCUGCGGGCGUCGCUGGGUUUGCGGGCGCGGGAGUGGCCCGCGAGGGCCGACCCGUGCACGGCCUGGGCGGGGGUCAUGUGCCGCGCCGGCCGCGUCGUGGGUGUCAGCGUCGCGGGGUUCCGCCGCACCCGCCUCGCGAGCCGCGCGCCGGCGUUCGCGGUCGACGGGCUGCGGAACCUCACAGCGCUCGAGCUCUUCAACGCCUCCGGUUUCCCGCUCCCCGGCGAGGUGCCCGCGUGGUUCAGCCGCGGCCUCCCGCCGCCGCUCGCCGUGCUCGACCUCCGCUACGCCGCAGUCAAUGGCAUGCUCCCGCCCGAUCUCGGCUCAUCGGGGAAUCUGACUAGGCUGCUCCUCUCCGGGAACAGUCUCUCGGGCCAGGUUCCGGAAACGCUGCUCUCCGUCAAAGGCCUUCGCGUUCUUGACCUCUCCACCAACAAUUUCACCGGGGAGCUACCCAGCGUCUCGGUCGGCGCCGGUGAUGUAGCGGCAUCGUUGUUUAACAUUUCAGGGAAUUCUCUGUAUGGUGUGGCCACUGAUGCCAUUGGGGCACUCAAGACGAGAUUCCGGCUGGUGGACGUGUCAAGCAACUACCUCGAUGGAGAUUGGAAUGGAUCCGAUGCAACGGUGGAUGUUAGCGUGAAUUGCUUCUCUGGUGUCCCUGGUCAGCGCCGUCGUGUUGAUUGUGAAGACUUCUAUAGGAGGGAAGGGGUGAGACUUGUUGAUAGUCCAGUGCCUGCACCUUUGCCUCAGCCAUCACCAGAGAAGAGCCGUGGGAUCUCCAAAAAUGUACUUAUUGGGGUUCUUGCAGCCGCGGCAGCAUUGAUGGUUAUGUUUUUGGUUGCAUUGCUUUUCUGUUUGAUGAGGAGGAGACAAAGAGGAGGUGGGAGAGGGGCGGAAACAAAUGAGGAAGGUGCACGCGGCAUGCGUAGGAGGGACAGCAGCGUAAAUCCUGUGGCCUCAUCACCGGUAGCAGUGUCCCCGAGAGCCGAUGCUACUCCUAAGGAUGCGAUUGCCGUUUUUGGUGAGUUGACCUAUGAGCAAUUGAUCCAUGCCACCGGGGGCUUUGGUGAUGACAACCUCCUCAAGCAUGGGCAUUCGGGGGAUAUUUACCAUGGUGUGUUGGAGAAUGGCGCACAUGUCAUCGUCAAGAAGAUUGGUACAAAGAGUAUCAACAAAGUUUCAAGCGAAUUGGACUUCUAUUCGAGGUACUCACAUGGGAGGAUUGUUCCGUUGCUCGGCCAUCUGGCCAACAAUGACGAAGAAUUUCUGUCCUACAAGUAUAUGCCAAAGGCGGACUUGACCAGCGCAUUGCACAAGAAACCUGUGGACACUGAAGAUGGCUUGCACUCAUUGGAUUGGAUAACUAGACUGAAGAUCGCCACUGGUGUAGCUGAGGCCAUGUGCUUCCUUCAUGACGAGUGCAGCCCACCAUUCGUUCACAGAGAUAUCCAAGCAAGCAGUGUGCUUCUUGAUGAUAAAUUUGAAGUGCGACUCGGAAGUAUGAGUAACAUAUGCGCUCAGCAAAGUGCAGGAAGCCAGAAUGUUUUCUCUCGGAUCUUGAGAUCAUCAAAGUCUCUUGACAAGAACAUAUCAGGCCCACCAGCAACUUGUUCAUACGAUGUUUACUGCUUUGGGAAGGUGAUCCUUGAGCUAGUAACAGGCAAUUUUGGUGUAAGUGGAUCAAAUGAUGCUGGCUCCGAGGAGUGGCUGACGAACACAAUAAAUCGCAUUAGCAUCAGUGACAAGGAUAGCAUUAUUAAUAUAAUUGAUCCUUUACUUGUCGUUGAUGAGGACCAUCUUGAAGAAGUAUGGGCAGUGGCGAUUGUCGCAAAGACGUGCCUAAACUCAAAGCCGUCAAGGCGCCCCUCUGCUCGCUACGUCUUGAAAGCCCUGGAGAAUCCACUGAGGGUGGUCCGAGCGGGUUCCCGGUCCAACUCCGCAAGGCUCAGGAGCUCGUCAUCCCGGAGCUCAUGGCAGUCUGCUUUUCUUCAGGGCAAUCGUUACCAGAACUACGAGGUCAUGUCGCCAUCAGGGCGAAUGCUUGAUGGCAGAGGCUCAGUUCGGUCGCAUAUUAGUGGGGGAGAAGCUUCCUCGUCCUUCAAGAGAUCUUUGCGGGAGAUAGCUCCUGACCCGCAAGUGCUGGACGAGGACGUCGCUGUGUAGAGAAAAGAGAAGAUUUUAUCCGGAAUUUCUUUCAGGAGCUGGUGAUUCUUGCUUACCUGUGUAUAAUUGUCAUCGGAUGUGCAUGGCUUCGGUUCCUCAAGGUCAGAAGUGUGCAUAAAGAGAGGCUAAGUUGUGGGUUUUCCUUCAUUGGCACAUGGAGAUGGUACAUGAUGUUUGCAGAGUGCACAUAGAGCAACAACAUUCAGUAUGACACAAUUAAUUUCUUUUCACCAAAUCACAUUGAUUUUUGACAUAAUCUGUACUAGUUAGUUGGAUUAAUUUGAGACUUGUUCUGGGAGAAGGUUGAAAAAAUAAGUCAAUUUGAAUUUAUAUUUUUAUUUAAAUUUAAAUUCAAAUGUGACCGUUUGGCAGUUGUCCAUGCCAGUUUACCUUGCCUUGUUUCUCUCUCUCUCUCUCUCAAAAAAAAAAGCAGUUAAGCCCCAAACAAUUAAAAGAAAACUCAAACAGGAUAGAGCUAAACCUCGCUCCACCUUCCACUCGUCUCCAAUGGCCACCACCACUCUCUCACGCUCUCACAUCCGCCUGCACCUCCCGCUCCACACCGCCAAUCCUUCCUACCCUCGCUGCUGCCGCCUCCUUCCCUCCUCCGCCAUCUCAUCGCGUCUCCAGAACCCCGCCACAACCACCGCCACCCACUAUCCCAUCCUCCCGCCCGCUCCAUCCCCUUCCCUCCUCGCCGCCGAGGAGGCCUCCCUCGCCCCGCGCCGCACCCACCGGUUCCCGGGCUCUGUCGCGCCCCCGCGCAUCCAGGACUCCCGGGACGACCUCGACGUCCCGGCCGACGAUGACGUCCUGCGGCGUGCGCUCGAGGUGCGCCGCGCUGUGGCCACCGAGGCGCUCGUGGCCGCGCUCAGCGGCGGCAAGGCCGGGGGGCUCACCUACGUCAACAACCUCACUUCACGGAUGGGCGCCUUCGUCGACCGCAUCGUCGUCGGAGCCGCCGCCAUGCGGCGCGACCGCCCCGAGCUCGCGCACCAGUCCUUCAACGCGCGGGCACGGACCUACAUCCAGGAAUCGGGCGUGGUCGAGCUGGUCAAGUGGUUCAAGCACAACUCGUUGACAUAUCCCCAAAUCGCGAAAGUAGUUUGCUCCUGUUCUGGUGAUCUGGAGAAAGUGAGAAGGAUGCUAAAGUGGUUGAGAUCAAUUUAUGUGAAAGGAGAAUUUUUGGGACGUGUGCUUGCGAAGGGUGAAUCCCUUAUGAGUCGCAGUUUCGAAGAAUUGGAAGAGAUUACUGGCUAUCUGGAAUGCUGUGGUGUUAGGAGAGAGUGGAUUGGUCACGUGGUCAGUAGAUGUCCACAGCUAUUGAAUUUGUCCUUGGAUGAGUUAGAGACACGAGUGCAAUUUUAUACAAAUAUGGGAAUGAAUGAGAAUGACUUCGGCACUAUGGUCUAUGAUUAUCCAAAAGUUCUCGGGUUUUUCAGCCUAGAAGAGAUGAACAGUAAGGUUCAAUAUCUGAAGGAGUUUGGUUUGAGCACAGAAGAACUUGGAAAAAUGCUGGCUUAUAAGCCACAGCUCAUGGCCUGCAGCAUUGAAGAAAGGUGGAAGCCACUUGUGAAGUACCUAUAUCAUCUAAACAUUUCACGGGAUGGUAUGAAGCGUGUGUUGGUGGUCCAACCUACGAUUUUCUGUCUUGAUUUAGAGACAGUAAUUGCACCAAAGGUACGAUUUCUACAGGAUAUUGGUGUGAGGAAUGAUGCAGUCGGCAAUGUGCUUGUGAAGUUCCCCCCUGUACUAACUUAUAGUCUGUACAGGAAGUUACGCCCAGUGGUUAUAUUCCUGAGGACAAAAGCUGGAGUAACAGAGGAUGACAUUGGGAAGGUGAUUGCGUUGGACCCGCAGCUCAUGGGCUGCAGCAUCCCACACAAACUGGAAGCCAGCGUCAAGUACUUCCGGUCACUGGGCAUCUACCACUUGGUGCUCGGCCAGAUGGUUGCCGACUUCCCGACGCUUCUCCGGUACAAUGUGGAUGUUCUACGUCCAAAAUACCAGUACCUCAGGCGUGUCAUGGUACGGCCGCUGAAAGAUCUUAUCGAGUUUCCCCGGUUUUUCAGUUACUCUUUGGAGCAUAGGAUAGAGCCUCGGCACAAGGUUCUGGUGGCCAACAGGAUAAACAUGAAGCUGCGGUACAUGCUGCCUGGUUCCGAUGAGGAGUUUGCGCAGAGGGUGCAAGAGGCCGUCGAGAGGAGAGCGAGAUUCGAAGCCGGAGUGACUACUCUGGAGACAUCAGGUGCGCCCGAAACACCCAGCGGCAAUGGAAAUGGCGUAGCAGCAGCAGCAGUAGCAUUUCAAGAGAUCGAGGCAGAUUAAGGCAGUACCUUGCAAGAAACAAGAAAUCCAUGUCCUUGGCUUGUACGUACAUACGUGUACAUGUUCCACGUUUGUGGUUGGCUGUGCUCACUGUGAGCCUAUUUGAUCCUUUGUGACUCCAAAGUCCUAAGCCAAGUCGACGGAGGAUUCUGCUGGAGCCAACGCGAGCACAAAAUGCAGAACUAAAAUGUUUCACAAAAGAAAAAGGAAACAUAACUAAGCUAGAUCAUCAUCCCAG